ensembl:lncRNA
GGGCGGCCGCCUGCGCGGCCCCGCCGCCGCCGCCCCCAGGCUCAGGGUCCCUGGACCGCUCCAAGCUCGUCCCGUCCCCUAGAGAGCCGGAGGGCAAGGAGGAAGCCCCUGCCCAGAGGAGAUGCGGACCUACACCAUCAUCGGCAGGAGCCACGAGCAGUGUAGGGACCUAGACAGAGAGGCUAGAGCGAGGCCCAGUUCUGCACAUGAGCUGUGUGGCUUCUCUUCUUGAGAAGAGAAGGGGGACCUCAGUUUCCCCCUCUGUGGUCUUCCUGCUCAACUGCCUUGAAUUCAUUGUCCAUGUUAUGUGGAAAUGGGGCAGGAUUCACAGUUUCUUCCUGCUCACAACCUGCAGGCUCCAAAUCUGCCUCAGAAAUGGAUCCUAGAAGUGGCUCACAGUUUAGGAAGUGGCCUUCUGUCUUGGGCUCACCUACCAGAAGUCCUCCAGUCUCACCUGCUGGAAGUGCUCUCAGAUCAGAUUCCUGUCUAGGAGAAGCUGAACAAACCUGAAUCAUUGCGAGAGAAGCCACUGAGCCUGGGAGCGUGCAUGUGCGGAGGCCAACAGAGAAGCCCCUCCUGCGAGACAGCGAUGGCCCUUCAGGGUGCCCUAGGCUUCCCAGGUGGCUCAGUGGCAAAGAAACUGCCUGCAGACACAGGAGACACGUUCCAGCCCUGGGUCGGGAAGAUCCCCUGGAGAAGGAAAUGGCAACCCACUCCAGUAUUCUUGCCUGGAAAAUUCCAUGGAC